rnacentral:piRNA from 1 species
AAAGACUUCAGAGAGACAUGGAAU